rnacentral:rRNA from 1 species
UACGAAGGGGGCUAGCGUUGUUCGGAAUUACUGGGCGUAAAGGGCGCGUAGGCGGUGUGUCAAGUCAGGCGUGAAAGCCCCGGGCUCAACCUGGGAACAGCGCUUGAGACUGGCACGCUCGAGUUCGGGAGAGGAUGGUGGAAUUCCCAGUGUAGAGGUGAAAUUCGUAGAGAUUAGGAAGAACCCCAGUGGCGAAGGCGACUUUCUGGACCAUAACUGACGCUGAGGCAUGAAAGCGUGGGGAGCAAACAGG